rnacentral:rRNA from 1 species
GAUGAACGCUGGCGGCGUGCCUAAUACAUGCAAGUCGAGCGAAAAGACGAGGAGCUUGCUCCUCUGACGUUAGCGGCGGACGGGUGAGUAACACGUGGAUAACCUCCCUAUAUGACUGGGAUCACCUCGGGACACCGGCGCUAAUACCGGAUAAUAUCUUGAUCCGCAUGGUUCAAUAGUGAAAGACGGUUUUGGUGUCACUUCUCGCUGGAUCCGCGCCGCAUUAGCUAGUUGGUACGGUCACGGCGUACCAAGGCUACGAUGCGUAGCCGACCUGAGAGAGUGGUCGGCCACACGGGAACGGAGACGCGGUCAAGACGCCUACGGGAGGCAGCAGUAGGGAAUCGGCCGCAGUGGGCGAAAGCCUGGCGGAGCAGGGCGGCGUGAGUGAUGAAGGUGUUCGGAUCGUAAAACUCUGUUAUGGGGUAUGAACAAAUUUGGAAUGAGCUAUGCACGGCUUGACGGUACCGAAUCAGAAAGCCACGGCUAACUACGUG